GGGACGUGCGGUGGCUCGAGCUGUCCGUCGAGGAGUCGGUGCGAGUGUCGCUCGAUAUAGAUGGCUCCCGACCUGAGAGAUAAAGGGAGAGGUGACCCUUCUCAGCCUACAGGUUUCUGCUAAGUCGGUGCUGAACUGGAGAGAUUUCAGCACCGGCCUUCAAGAAGCAACUGUUGCCAGUGUUUGUUCAAUCUGUCGGAGUUCAGUUGCCAUGAUUUCCGGUGACAUUCUGCAAGCACUUCACCAAAAUGGCUGCGAUCUUAACGGUGUGAAAAUGUUCUCAAACAAUAGGCUUCAUCAGGGUGAGUGCAUGCCGAGUGUUGGCAACGGCAAAGGUAAUGCAGUCUU